UUUGCCCUAAACCAGGACAAGUGGAAACCCUGAUCUAAAUGAAUCACUCUAAUAAUCCUAAAUCAUGGAAUUAAUUAUUCUAAAAUAAUCUUUGUAACAUAAUGUGUUGUUGCUCGUGACACAGGGUAGGCCUCUACCCAAUGAGUUAAUUGGUCUACUAUUACUAACAAAUACUUAUAUCUUCUCACUUUCAGUAGUUCAGUAAAAUCCACUUGUAUCUUUUCAAAAGGCCUAUAUGCAGUUUUUCUCCCUCCCUGCAGGGUCUGUCUAGAUGUCUUCUUGUUAAUUUUCUGAUAAAUAAUUCAUCCUUGUGUCUCCUGUUUUCCUACAUAAAAUAUUCCUAUACACCAAAAAACCUUUAAAAAGUGGUUUAGUGUUCGUGUUCUCCAGUGAGUUUGUUGAUGUAACUGUUGAAUUAUUCUUCUAGGGUAACUUUUAGAUAGCAUUUCUCUACUAUCUGGUAAAAGCUACUUAUUCCCUUCUAUCUUAGCCCCUAGUUUCUCCAUCUCUUGUAUUUCCUUUGAGGUAUAGCAUUUUUGAUACUUUAUCUCAUCCUCACUUUUACUUAAAUUAUUUAAAGACGUGUAAGCAUACUGCUGCCCUUUGUGCUUCUGCAUCAGCCAAAUUAUUCCCAUGAGUCUGAUAAUCCGUUCCUCUCUGAUGUCCUCUUACAUGGACAACAGCUAUCGCUGAUGGACCACUCAAAGUUUCUAAUACUCUUACAAUCAAUUAAUGAUGAACAAGUCUUCUUCCUUGGGUAUUUACAAGUCUCUUUUCUAAGUUUCCCUCACAGCUGCUACAAAUAUCUUGGCUUUUGCCUUUUGUUUUUCUUCAUCUCUCUUCAUGUAUACCUUUUUGGCUUCCCGCAAUAGCUCUUGGAGACCCUGGUCCUGUCAAUCUUCUAAUUUCUCUAGCUUUUUCCAUAUGUCUCCUUAUGAUUUUGCUACAAAUUGAGUUUUAAGCAAUGCUGCUCCUACUGGGGAAUUUGGGUCCACUCCUGAUUACAUUUGCAGGCUCUUUCUGAGCCUCUCAAGCUAAUCUGUAGGUGAUUCAUCUUAUUUUUGGUGCACACUGAAGGCCUUGAUAAUAUUUGCCCUCUAGGUAUGGCAUUCCGUAUCCCUUGUACAAUGAUAUUUCUAAGGUCCCUCCUAUUUUGACUGUCUUGCUCAAUCUGGUGAUUCUAAUCUGGUCUCUGAUUAGUCCAUUUUUGAUCACCACCUAGACCCUGCUGGUGUCUCCUUUCUCAGUCUUGUCGGGUCGGCUGUCUGUCUCUGCCCAGACACGCGUAGUAUGGUUCUGUUGCAGGCCGCGCUUCAAAGGACGAAUCUGGACUCUUUAGUUUUUUGGUCUUCGGAUUUGUUUAUUAUUUCUUAUCUACAGAGUUUUCUCUCUGCCCAGCCGGGAUCUGACCAGCAAGGCAGCCAAAGGCACUCUGACCGCCCAUGGGGCGGCCAUGUCUCUUUAUAGUAAAAACUAUGUAUAACAUAUUUGCCUUUUAUUCCCAAUACCUUUCACCCUUGUUAGCAAGUGCACCUUCACCAUGAACCAAUCCACAAGUGCCAACAUCACCACAGAAGAUGGAUGACAAGAAGAAGAAAGAAGAACCACGAAGCAGGCCCUGAUCCCUCCAUCUUGUCUCCAUAACCCCCCUGUACCAAAACCCUAAAAUCUAUAUUUCACCCUGUAAAUAUAUCAUUCCUGCACCAUUCAAACUCUAGUGACUCCCAUGUCCUUAUACACAGGUGGAACAUCCCUAGAAGGGUCAAAGUCAAGCCACCAGGUGCUUUUGGCAACAUUCCAAGACCUCCGAGCCCCCCCAAGGGUUCUCUUGGUAGCUCUGGACAUCUGGAGUGAUGUGUUGAGUUCCCACAAGUCUCUCAUUCCUAUUUGCCUAAUCAUUUAUCUUUCCUCAGUAGUAAAUAGUAUUCCUAAUAUAACUUGAAGCUCAUCCCAGGUGUAGGUAUUUGGGCCUAAAAAUUGGUCUAACCUCUCAGAAACCCCUAAAGGGUCCUCAAGCAGCCGCCUUGUUUCCUUUUUAAAUUCUCUUACAUCCCCAUUAUUAAGUGGGACUGUUACAAACCCUAUUCCCCUAUAAUUUCCUUCCAUAGGUACUUCUCUCAGGGGGAAUAGUCUCUUCUUUUGAUCUUCCUCCUCCCCACUAGAAUUAUUUUCCGUGCGUUGUUCUCUCUUGUUGCUCCAAGUCUUACUAGAUGGUGGUGACAGUAGUGGAGCCAUCGGGCUCUGAAGCCUCUCAGGGGAGGAGUGAGUUUCCUGCCUUUGAUAGGGAGGGGGAAAAUUGUCUAAUGGUUCCUAAGGUUUUUCUUUUUCCUCCACCUUUCUCUAUUUUUUUAGUUUUCAGGGGGUAUAAUGCUAUCUUUACAGAGGACCCCCUCUAAAGUGCUGCAUAAUCACUUUCCUCCUGAUCAAAGGGUUCCUUAGUAUUUACAUAAAUAUUUAAAGCUUGACACAUCUAAUCAUCAAAGGAUCCAAACAUUAGCUAAUAUAAAUGAUCAGGCCUAAUUUUUUCUUUAGUCUACUCUACUAUACAAUAAUGUACCAUCUUUUCUUUACUUUUUCUCUUCCUAGAGGGUAUUGCAUCCCAAUGUGCAAUCAUUAACCCCAGGGAGCUGUCCAGGGGUAUCUCUGCUAAUUCACUCUGUUUCUCAUUUUUAGAGCCUCUCUGGGGGCUCCUUAACCUUGAGCCUCUCUUGGGGCCCUUUGAGCCUCUCUGGGGGCUCGUGGAACCUCUCUGGGGGUUCCUUGAGCCAGAGGUCUUACUAUUCCCCUGACCCAUCAUGACCAGUGUCACACCACUCGCUUAAUCUUUUCAUUGGCCAAGCCCCUCGCAGGGUGAUGGAACUGCAGAUAGAAGAACUCUUCAAUUGCUUCGCAAUAAUAUUGCAUCUUACUCACUUUCACUCAGACACUGUGAUGUCCACCCAACCCAACGAUACUCACAGCCCGCUGUUCUUGUCCGGAUCUUCGUGUACUAGAAUUACAGGUGAUUUAAACUGCAGUUCUCAGGGAGCUCAAUUCUUUGCUUGCUUUCUUUACCGAGUUCAUGGUGCCAUUAGUUCCUGGGCUAUUGGCCUCUACGGGCCACAAAAGUGGGGUGCCCCCUGCAGCAGCCUCAGUCUGAGAAAUUCAAGGGCAUCAUGUAGGGUCACCAAAUUGAUAUAAAAUUUCGAUAGCUGUACCGAAUUUUAUUUCUAUAUCUUUUAUUUUAAAGAAAGUAAGCAAGCAGCGCUGGGUGGCUGGGGAGUCACUGCUCUGCUAACGGCACACACCACUUACAAGUUUGGUAAAGUAUAUAUACUGUUUUUAAGCUCACAAAGCAUUUUUCUAUGUGCUUGGUUAGUCCAAAUCAGCAAAUAUCAAUAAGCUGGGAUCAGCAAUUUCACAAUCUUUCCAGGUGGUCGUUGGCUUCCUGUCCUUCUUGUAGUCGUCUGGAGGGAGGCUUUACACUGGUGUCUGCUACAUGAUUUUGUUAAGCGCAUCAAGCUUUUUAUUAUAUAUAAGCAUUUAGUCAUUUUGUUGCAAUAUCUCAGCUUUACCACAACUUCCUCUAUUUUAUUCUAAGCAUCAGUUGUCUUGCUACCUCAUUUCUUUUACUCUGUUAUACUUUUUCUAUUUCAAUGCUUUAUUUGGCUAUUUGGUCAGAAAGUUUCAAAACUGUUCUUUGUAGUUAUCCCAGAGAAUGCAUCUACUUUUGACACAGCAGAUAUAAGUAUUUGCUGAUUCCAUUGCCAAUUGACAUGAAUCACAAAAACAUUUUUCACAGUGAGCAGUCGUUUCUCACAAUUUGAAUCCUCGUAAACCAGGAUAAGAACCUCCUCUCCAUGCCCGUAGGAGAUUUCAAAAGAGAGGUGCACCCUGCCAAUUUCGGCAGCUCAUUCGAGUUCUCCUGUGACCACCGGUGAGUGCAGGUUUCCCCCCUGGGGACAGCAGAGGACUAAAUAACGAAAAAGAAAAGGGGGAAGAAAAAACAGACAAAAAACGUGAGUAUUUGCAUGCGUGUGAGAGUCCGAGAGUGUGCUUGGAGUGGGUGUAAGAGUUGCUGGACUUGGGGGGCUCAAGAACAUAUCGGGGUGCCAGGUCGAGAGCCACUGGAUUUGGGGCGGGGAGGGGUUGACCGCGCUGGUAUGGACGGCAGCGUCUCGGAGGCCGCUGCAGGAGGCCACGUGGGUGCUAGCUGCGGCAGCGCCGAGGUCCCGGCGCGGCUCAAGCUCGGCAGAGCUGGGCUGUGGGAGCCCACGUGGGGGAGGUUUUUCGGCGUCUCGGCGCAGCUCGGUUUUGGUGUGAGCCCAGGCGCGGCAGGACCGGGAGCGGCGGCGGCGCCGAGGUCAUGUACCACCCUAGCCUGUUGCCAGGAGGAUGACACCCCCCCCCUCGGACGGUGGGGAGAGGGGGAUAUUUGCAUCUCAGGAGACAUGCAAAUUUAUCUCAAAACCCAGACUGCACUGGGACGGGACCUUCACCAAAUCCUGGAAAAUACCCCAAAAGAGACGAGCCAAAGCAGAAUUGAGAGGUCAGGGUGGUGUCUGGACAGCAGGGCCGAGGUCCGAAGCCGGCAGAGAUGCUUGAGAGCCUCGGUCACUCCUUGCCCCAAUUAAAAACGAUGCCAGUCGGACCCAGGACCCCCUGGACUGCCCACAUCGAAUGAAACCCUGGGUAUACCCCCACUGCCCUUGCAAGGACAGGACUCCAGGCUCUGGCCCCUAGGGGACUGAGCUGCAAAUCAUUCUCUUCAGAGUCGCUGCUGGAAGCGGCGGCAGAACUCCGCGGAUCUGCCAAAAACCCCCAUUUGGAGCUGAUCACUUCAAUAAAGGCAUUAGAAUGAGGAAAA